rnacentral:rRNA from 2 species
ACCUUGAAAUACCACCCUUUAAUGUUUGAUGUUCUAACGUGGACCCGUAAUCCGGGUUGCGGACAGUGUCUGGUGGGUAGUUUGACUGGGGCGGUCUCCUCCUAAAGAGUAACGGAGGAGCACGAAGGUUGGCUAAUCCUGGUCGGACAUCAGGAGGUUAGUGCAAUGGCAUAAGCCAGCUUGACUGCGAGCGUGACGGCGCGAGCAGGUGCGAAAGCAGGUCAUAGUGAUCCGGUGGUUCUGAAUGGAAGGGCCAUCGCUCAACGGAUAAAAGGUACUCCGGGGAUAACAGGCUGAUACCGCCCAAGAGUUCAUAUCGACGGCGGUGUUUGGCACCUCGAUGUCGGCUCAUCACAUCCUGGGGCUGAAGUAGGUCCCAAGGGUAUGGCUGUUCGCCAUUUAAAGUGGUACGCGAGCUGGGUUUAGAACGUCGUGAGACAGUUCGGUCCCUAUCUGCCGUGGGCGCUGGAGAACUGAGGGGGGCUGCUCCUAGUACGAGAGGACCGGAGUGGACGCAUCACUGGUGUUCGGGUUGUCAUGCCAAUGGCACUGCCCGGUAGCUAAAUGCGGAAGAGAUAAGUGCUGAAAGCAUCUAAGCACGAAACUUGCCCCGAGAUGAGUUCUCCCUGAGACUUUAGGUCUCCUGAAGGAACGUUGAAGACGACGACGUUGAUAGGCCGGGUGUGUAAGCGCAGCGAUGCGUUGAGCUAACCGGUACUAAUGAACCGUGAGGCUUAACCUUACAACGCCGAAG